AUCGCAUCCAUCAAGCGUCUUUCAUUAUGCUUAAAGGUCAACAGUGUAGAGGAUGUGUAUACUGAUGGAAUUGUCUUCAAUCAACUUGAACAUCUCAAGCUAUGCACAUGCAACACAUAUUGGUCAAAAUUACUUGUCCAAUUGCUCGAAAAUGCUCCUAAACUACAAGUCCUCGAGCUCUAUGUCAAUGAACAUUCACCUAUUAGUAGGACUCCAAUGGUUUACUGGAAGAAUCAACUGAGUUGUGUUCCUCAAUGUUUUGUGACGAGUCUGGAAACUUUUAAGUGGAUAGGGUGUGAAGGAAGACAAGAAGAAAUAGAUGUGGUCGCAUAUAUCCUGAACAAUGCUCGUUGCUUAAAGACUGCAACAGUCUUAAUUGGUCCUCAAAGGAAACAACAGAUGAUUAAUGAGUUGUCACUUUCUUCCCUAGCUUCAACCACAUGCAAGCUCACGUUUUAAUUUGACUAGUUGAAUGAAUGAUUUGAUGAACAGGAUUUGAAAUUGCAUUUACUCUCUCUAUCUAUUUUUAUUCUCUCAUUGGUUAUUGAUAUUUGCUUUUUGGUUGUCAAACCUC